rnacentral:tRNA from 1 species
CGAGUCCUAUGUGAAUAUUCUUGGCCUGCUAAGCCAAAGAAUUUGUGGUUUAACUCCAUGAAGGACUCGA